CAUGGUGAUUUUGGAGCAGUUCUGGAUUCCCAAUCUUAAGCUAAUCACUGGACCCAUUGAGGUUAAAUUAGCUGCAGUUGCCUCAAGUAGACUUAUCUGUGAAUCUCCUUCCCUUUUGGAUGCUGCAGCUAUUAGACACUGGGGAAAAAUGCUGGAUAGUGUUGUUACCCUUCUCUCACGGCCAGAAGAGGAUAGAGUUGAAGA
rnacentral:misc_RNA from 1 species